AGGAGAUGGCAGGAACAAGGCCACAGAGAGCAAAAAGUAAUCCCAAACAUGAUGCCAGUUAUUAUUGCUCUUUAGGUGAAGAUAGGGAAGGGUUUGAUGUAAAAUAUAUUAAUUCAUUUAAAGGUCGGGGUGUGUUCAGCUGCCGGUGCUUUCAAAAAGGAGAUUUCCUUAUUGAGUACAGAGGGGAAGUCAUAAGUAGAAAGGAACAGGAAAACCGAUUGAAAGUUUACCAUGAUGCACUCAAGGUUUUUUUGUUUGAUUUCCAGUUCAAUGGACAACAGUUAUGUGUUGAUGCUGCCAGAGAGGAUAGAUCAUUAGGGAGACUGGUAAAUGAUGAUGAGGCAAAUCCAAACAGCAAAAUGAAAGUUACAAGAGUGGAUGGAAGACCCUAUCUCUGUUUAUUUGCACUCAAAGAUAUUGGUCCAGGGGAAGAAAUCACUUAUAAUUAUGGUGAUUCUGACUGG